rfam:Prevotella saccharolytica F0055 genomic scaffold Scfld556, whole genome shotgun sequence.
ACAGUGUUUCGGCUCUGCCGCCGGUAUGUUUUUAUACGGGAGGAAAGUCCGGGCAGCAUAGGAUGUUCCACUUCUGAAAAUAGAAGCUGUUGGUAACAGCAGGUGAAGAUAGAAGAAAAUAACCGCCUCGUUUUUACGCGGUAAGGGUGAGAAGGUGGUGUAAGAGACCACCAGCCGGCGGGUGAUCGUUGGGCUGUAUCUACUGGAAGCUGCAAGUUCGCGUAUACCAUCGUUUGAGGGUUAUCCGCCCGAUUCACUCCGAUGGAGGGUAGAACGCUUAAGCUGUAGGGCAACUUACAGUUUAGAUAAAUGGCAGGCACCUGUAAGACAAAUGUCGCACAGGGACAGAACCCGGCUUACAGAAGCACUGUUUUC